rnacentral:rRNA from 1 species
UGGAAGCGUCUGGAAAGGCGCGCGAUACAGGGUGACAGCCCCGUACACAAAAAUGCACAUGCUGUGAGCUCGAUGAGUAGGGCGGGACACGUGGUAUCCUGUCUGAAUAUGGGGGGACCAUCCUCCAAGGCUAAAUACUCCUGACUGACCGAUAGUGAACCAGUACCGUGAGGGAAAGGCGAAAAGAACCCCGGCGAGGGGAGUGAAAAAGAACCUGAAACCGUGUACGUACAAGCAGUGGGAGCACGCUUCGGCGUGUGACUGCGUACCUUUUGUAUAAUGGGUCAGCGACUUAUAUUCUGUAGCAAGGUUAACCGAAUAGGGGAGCCGAAGGGAAACCGAGUCUUAACUGGGCGUUAAGUUGCAGGGUAUAGACCCGAAACCCGGUGAUCUAGCCAUGGGCAGGUUGAAGGUUGGGUAACACUAACUGGAGGACCGAACCGACUAAUGUUGAAAAAUUAGCGGAUGACUUGUGGCUGGGGGUGAAAGGCCAAUCAAACCGGGAGAUAGCUGGUUCUCCCCGAAAGCUAUUUAGGUAGCGCCUCGUGAAUUCAUCUCCGGGGGUAGAGCACUGUUUCGGCAAGGGGGUCAUCCCGACUUACCAACCCGAUGCAAACUGCGAAUACCGGAGAAUGUUAUCACGGGAGACACACGGCGGGUGCUAACGUCCGUCGUGAAGAGGGAAACAACCCAGACCGCCAGCUAAGGUCCCAAAGUCAUGGUUAAGUGGGAAACGAUGUGGGAAGGCCCAGACAGCCAGGAUGUUGGCUUAGAAGCAGCCAUCAUUUAAAGAAAGCGUAAUAGCUCACUGGUCGAGUCGGCCUGCGCGGAAGAUGUAACGGGGCUAAACCAUGCACCGAAGCUGCGGCAGCGACACUAUGUGUUGUUGGGUAGGGGAGCG